rnacentral:rRNA from 1 species
AUGAGGACAGCAGUAGCUUGCACCCGUCUUCACUACCAUCGUCAGAUGACUAGGUGCCUCACAAACCACAUAUCUCUACUUUUUCAACCUCCUUCGAUACCCCCACCUCGUUCACUACCCCACCCUCAUGGCAUUAGCCCAUUGCCUGAUGAAGAAGAUGAGAGUAGGGAAGAAGAAGAAGAUGAUGAUGAUGAGGUGGAGGAGAGUGGUGGUGGGCACAUCCUCGCUUCAGCGCUGAACAGGAAAGCCUCCCCGCCACCAUUAGGGAGCUCUUGGUUGCACCGCAAGCUGCAAGGCCUUGUCAAAUCACUCAUGUCGCUUAACGGCUAUGGCCUCUCGCUGGUCAAGAUGGAUCAUUUUGUGCAGAACCCACGGACAUGCCUUUUCCUUGGUGCGGGCAAGGCACACAUAACUCCAGCAAAGCUUCCUGAUGGACAUCCUGCUUCACAUUUCGCAAAGGUGCUGCCCAUGGUUGCUCCAGUUACUCGAGCUCAGCGCCACCUGCUUGCAUGA